rnacentral:sRNA from 1 species
AGUCUUGGCUGGUCUUGCCUUUCCUUCCUGUUCCCACUGCCGCCAUGUUGGUUCAGUCUCCUGUCACUCACAACAAGAUGAACAGCAAUGUUCUCUUCUCUGUCUCCUUGAUGGAACAGAUGCCUUCCUCGUUUGGACUUGAGUCAGUCCCGGCAAAUGUUUAAGUGGCCUGGAGAGCUAAGAGAGUGCUAGAAGGGAGACUGCUGUCCCCACAAUGGCUGCAGCCCCAUUCCUUUUUCCAAGCUGCCUGGGUGAACAUUCCAGGAUCCUGACAUUCUGUGGAAAUUGAUGAGUGCUUGCUCAAAGGUCGAUGAUGUGCUACAGAUGGCAUCACCUGUUAGAGACAGAGCUUUCUCAAAAGGAGCUUUGAUUUCCUUUACUUCCCGAACUGCUAUUUCACAGUCUCUCAGUAGAUGUCAGCAGCACAGCAAACAUCUCGGUGCCCAUCAUGGAAGGAGGUUGGUUCAAAAACUUUUCCAAUUAAAG